UUAACUCAAAUUUGUAUGGAAUUGGAACGUUUGCCUACGUUUGCCGCUAGGGUCGUUUUUCCAACACCAUACAAAUUUGAGUUA
rfam:Bombyx mori DNA, contig: Bm_scaf48_contig25670, strain: p50T/Dazao, build 2, whole genome shotgun sequence.